rnacentral:rRNA from 1 species
GAUGAACGCUGGCGGCGUGCCUUAUACAUGCAAGUCGAGUGGGUUUAGACCCACGGCAAACGGGUGAGUAACACGUAGGUACUUUCCUUGUCACAGGAAUAACCCUCCGAAAGGAGGGCUAAUACCUGAUGUGAUCGCAAGAUUAAAGGGUAUCCGCAAGGAUUACCGGACAAGAAGAGGCCUGCGGCCUAUCAGCUAGUUGGCGGCGUAAAUGCCCACCAAGGCUAUGACGGGUAGCUGGUCUUAUGAGGAUGAUCAGUCACAUGGGCACUGAGACACGGGCCCAACUCCUACGGGAGGCAGCAGUAGGGAAUUUUGCGCAAUGAGCGAAAGCCUGACGCAGCGACGCCGCGUGCGGGAUGAAGGCCUUCGAGUCGUAAACAGCUUUUAUAAGGGACGAACUUUGACGGUACCUUAUGAAUAAGAGGUUGCUAACUCUGUG